UACGUAGGGUGCGAGCGUUGUCCGGAAUUAUUGGGCGUAAAGGGCUCGUAGGCGGUCUGUCGCGUCGGGAGUGAAAACUCAGGGCUUAACCCUGAGCCUGCUCCGAUACGGGCAGACUAGAGGUAUGCAGGGGAGAAUGGAAUUCCUGGUGUAGCGGUGAAAUGCGCAGAUAUCAGGAGGAACACCGGUGGCGAAGGCGGUUCUCUGGGCAUUACCUGACGCUGAGACGCGAAAGCGUGGGGAGCGAACAGG
rnacentral:rRNA from 1 species